rnacentral:rRNA from 1 species
UAGAGUUUGAUCAUGGCUCAGAUUGAACGCUGGCGGCAGGCCUAACACAUGCAAGUCGAACGCUCUCGAAUCUUCGGAUUCAAUGAGAGAGUGGCGAACGGGUGAGUAACACGUAAGAAACCUGCCCUUAAGACGAGGAUAACUACUGGAAACGGUAGCUAAUACUGGAUAGUACAUCUUAUCGCAUGAUGAAAUGUUUAAAGAGGCUCCUGGCCUCACUUAAGGAUGGUCUUGCGCUGCAUUAGCUAGUUGGUAAGGUAACGGCUUACCAAGGCGACGAUGCAUAGCUGGUCUGAGAGGAUGAACAGCCACACUGGGACUGAGACACGGCCCAGACUCCUACGGGAGGCAGCAGUAGGGAAUUUUCGGCAAUGGGCGCAAGCCUGACCGAGCAAUGCCGCGUGAACGAUGAAGGUCUUCGGAUCGUAAAGUUCUGUUAUUUGGGAAGAACACGUAGUCUAGGAAAUGAUUCUACGUUGACGGUACCUUAUCAGAAAGCUCCGGCUAACUACGUGCCAGCAGCCGCGGUAAUACGUAGGGAGCGAGCGUUAUCCGGAAUUAUUGGGCGUAAAGCGUGCGUAGGCGGUUUGUUAAGUCAAAUCUGAAAGCCCCCAGCUUAACUGGGGAGAGUGAUUUGAAACUGGCAGACUUGAGUAUGGCAGAGGUUAGUGGAAUUUCAUGUGUAGCGGUGGAAUGCGUAGAUAUAUGAAGGAACACCAGUGGCGAAGGCGGCUAACUGGACCAGAACUGACGCUGAGGCACGAAAGC